CCCUUAGAUGUUCUGGGCCGCACGCGCGCUACACUGACGAAUGCAACGAGCUUAUAACCUUGGCCGAAAGGUCUGGGUAAUCUCUAAAUUUCGUCGUGAUGGGGAUAGAUUAUUGCAAUUAUUAAUCUUCAACGAGGAAUGCCUAGUAAGCGCAAGUCAUCAGCUUGCGUUGAUUACGUCCCUGCCCUUUGUACACACCGCCCGUCGCUCCUACCGAUUGAAUGGUCCGGUGAAGCGUUCGGACCGUGGCCUUUGGACGGUUCGCCGUCUGUUGGCUGCGGGAAGUUCGUUAAACCUUAUCAUUUAGAGGAAGGAGAAGUCGUAACA
rnacentral:rRNA from 1 species